rnacentral:rRNA from 1 species
GACGAACGCUGGCGGCGUGCUUAACACAUGCAAGUCGAACGGAAAGGCCCUGCUUUUGUGGGGUGCUCGAGUGGCGAACGGGUGAGUAACACGUGAGUAACCUGCCCUUGAUUUUGGGAUAACUUCAGGAAACUGGGGCUAAUAUCGGAUAGGAGCUCCUGCUGCAUGGUGGGGGUUGGAAAGUUUCGGCGGUUGGGGAUGGACUCGCGGCUUAUCAGCUUGUUGGUGGGGUAGUGGCUUACCAAGGCUUUGACGGGUAGCCGGCCUGAGAGGGUGACCGGCCACAUUGGGACUGAGAUACGGCCCAGACUCCUACGGGAGGCAGCAGUGGGGAAUAUUGCACAAUGGGCGGAAGCCUGAUGCAGCAACGCCGCGUGCGGGAUGACGGCCUUCGGGUUGUAAACCGCUUUCGCCUGUGACGAAGCGUGAGUGACGGUAAUGGGUAAAGAAGCACCGGCUAACUACGUG